GUAAUGAUCGGAUCACACAGAUCGGUGUAAUAAUCGUCCCCGGGCACAGCGAGCCCCCGGUACAGCGGGGGACAGGCAGCGUGCAGGAGCCGGUACCCGGGGACACAUGGAGGCGGCCGGGGAGGGGAGGAGGCGGCGGCUGCUGCUCACUUCCUCCAUCAUCCAUGUGCUGCUGCUGGCGGAGGGACUGUGACCUGCGGCUGAGCCAGAAGUGCAGGGUGAGGACACGGUGUAUAUGGGGAAUUUGGUGUCGAUCCUACAACACACGGCCACCAGAGGGAGCAGGGGUGUUAGUAGGAAAUGUAGUGAAGCACAUGUUUAAAGAACUUCGUGUGUACCAAGUGUAGUGCACUCGGUUUUAUACACACUUCUUUGAAAAGAUUUUUACUGAGUCGUGCAGACUUGUGUUUCACUGUUGUACUAUCUGUCUGUGUGCAUGAUGAGUAAAGCUAAUGCCAAAUCAAAAAAGCAGCUUGUCUGUGAUAUCUGUGAAAAUGUGUUACGUGAUGGAACUUCCACUUGCACAGUGUGUCUUGCAAAUACGGGUCCAAUUAUGGAUGUCUGCCCUGAUCCUCCUUGAGCGAUGAUCGUAGGUGUGAUGGCUGAUUUGAAGUCAGAGUUGGCGGCUGCACGAAAAGACCGUGAGGCGGCUAAAUCUGACUCUAGGUUAAUACCGUCUGAGCAGCCAGAGUGGGCUCAGGAUAUUUCUAGAACCUUGCAGGGUUUACAAAGGUCCAUAUAUAGUUCGAUUCCUAAAGGUAGUCCUCAUUUGUCUCAUACUUUACCGGUUUCAUCGGUGUUGCAUUCUGACGAUUCAAUGCCAGACCUGGUAUCUCUGGAGGAAGAGGAGGAAGGUGAAUUGGGACAAGAGUCAGAUAGUGAGGUCACUGAUAGCCCGGGCAUUGAUAAUCUCAUCAGGGCAGUUUGCCAGGUACUAAAUUUCACUGAGACAGAGGAGCCUCUGACAAAGGAUGAUGUUUUAUUUGCUAAAAAACAAAGGGUGACUGUGUGUUUUCCUUAUUCAGAUUAUCUGAAUAAGCAGUUGACGGAAGCAUGGAAAAAUCCAGAUAAACUGUUUUCUAUGCCAAAGCGGUUUCUGUCUAACUACCCGUUCCCAGAGUCUAUGACAAGUACAUGGGAAAAUCCGCCACCAGUGGAUUUCUCAGUUUCAAAACUUGCAAAGAAGUUAACCCUUCCAGUCCCAGCUGCAAUGAAGCUUAAAGACCCGUCGGAGCGUAGGAUAGAAGCUAUGCUAAAGUCCAUGUAUACAGCAGCAGGGGUGUUGAUUAGACUUGGUUUAGUUGGAAUUUGGGUUAACAAGGCUGUAAUGGUAUGGGCAGAACAGCUCAAGUUAGGCCUACAACGGGGUCUUUCCAGAGACCAGCUUAUACAUCUUACUGAUCAUAUUUGUGAAGCGGCGGAGUAUUUAGGUAUGGCUUCUAUUGAUGUCAGACUGGUUAGUUCUCGGAUUUCAGCUUCACUGAUUGCGGCCCGACGGGCGCUUUGGUUGCAUUCUUGGCAAGUCAAGGCUGAGUUGAAACGAGCAAUAGAAGCGUUGCCUUAUAAUGGCGUUAGGUUAUUUGAUCCUGAAUUGGACAAAUGGAUUUCUCAGGCUGCUGAGGGAAAGUCUGUUUUCCUACCGUUGCCCACACCAGUCCCUAAAAGAGAAUACACUGGACCAGCGUUCAAAUCUUUUAGACCUCAGUCCUUUCGAGGCCUUGCUAGAGGAACAACCAUACAGAGGGGAAAUUCUGUUUUCCUACCAUUGCCUGCACAGGUACCUCGACGGAAAUACUCUGGACCAGCGUUCAAAUCGUUUAGACCUCAGUCCUUUCGAGGCCGUGCUAGAGGAACAACCAUACAGAGUAGAAGUGGUCUUCAAGAAACCACUAACCGUCGUCAGGACACACAGACCGCUGACGGGCCAGUGGCAUGACGGGCUCCCAGCCCAUCUCGGAUCGUCCGUUGUUGGAGCACGCCUUCAAACGUUUCACUUGGCGUGGUUUCAGACAUCCACAGAUGGGUGGAUCCGCAUUUUAAUGUUCAAAGGUUACAAAAUAGAGUUCGAUUGCCUACCGCCAAUGCGGUUUUUCAAGAUAGGGCUGCCGGUGUCAGGAGACAAGAGGGCAAUUCUGCAGACCGAUAUUGAACCUAAAGGGGCUCAAUCAGUACGUCACUAACUUCAGAUUCAAUAUGGAAUCCGUGCGUUUAGUGAUUGCAGGUUUAGGGCCACAGGAAUUCAUGAUUGCGCUGGAUCUCAAGGAUGCGUACUUAAACAUUCCAAUUUGACCACCACAUCAGGUGUACUUUAAGGUUUGCAGUACAACAAAACCAUUAUCCAUUUCAGGCUCUACCGUUUGGCCUCUCAUCAGCACCUCGGGUAUUCACAAAGGUGAUGUCUGUGAUGAUAGCUCAUCUCGGAUCCCUGGGAGUGAUAAUUGUUCUGUACUUAGACGAUCUACUCAUCAAAGCUCCGUCUCCACAAAUACUCCAACAUGCGUUGCUAACGUACAAUGUACUAGGUCAGUACGGCUGCAUUGUCAUCUUGAAAAAAUAAAUAAAUAAAAUCAAGCCUGGUUCCGUCUCAAAGACUUCAAUUCCUAGGAAUGAUUCUGGAUACGUUGGAUCAAUGAACUUACCUGCCAGAAGAGAAAGCACAAAGUAUUCGUCAUCUGGUACAGUUAGUGCUCAAACCACGCACAGUCUUGGUGCAUUUGUGGAUUCGACUGUUAGGAAAGAUGGUGGCGGCUUUCGAAGCGCUCCAGUUCGGAAGAUUUCAACUGGAUCUUCUCGCAUAAUGGUGAGGGUCUCAUCUACAAGUUCAUCAGAUGGUGCGGUUGUCUCUGAGGGCCAGAGUAUCUCUACUCUGGUGGCUCCACAUACACAAUCUCACAGCGGGAAAAAGGUUCGGAGUCUGGAAUUAGGUAGUUCUGAUGACAGAUGCAAGUCUGAGGUUGGGGAGCAGCGGUCAUACAUUGUCAGGUUUAGGGUCAGACCGAGAAAGAUUACUGUCAAUAAAUGUCCUGGAACUCGGGGCAAUUUACAACGCUCUGCAACAGGCAGUUCACAUGCUCCGGUCCCAGACUGUUCAGGUUCAGCCAGACAACGCGACGGCAGUCGCAUAAAUCAAUGAACAAGGAGGGACUCGAAGUCGCAUGGCCUUGCGAGAAGUUGUUGAUAUUGUCGGCAGUGUUUAUUCCAGGAGUGGACAACUGGGAGGCGGAUUAUCUCAGCCGUCAGGACUUUCAUCCAGGAGAAUGGGCUUUACAUCCAGAGGUGUUCCAGAUAUUGGUCCAGCGGUGGGGUUAUCCACAGGUGGAUCUAAUGGCAUCUCGCCAAAAUCAUCAAACUCCCCAGUAUGUGUCCAGAACUAGAGAUCCAAAGGUAGGGGUACUGGACGCCCACCUAGAGCAGUGUCACCUGUCUUGUGGUAAGUUCAGUAGAUCUUAUGGUAACACAUUCUCACCGACUUGUUUAAAUGUUAAAGUGAUUGUUAUCUGUUGUGUCAACUUUCUAGUUGUUAGUUUCUUAUAAACGUUAUAUGUAAUUCUCCAUUGUUCCUCAUCCUCUCUGUCGCUCCAGUUCGGCUCAGUAAAAAAAACACUGAGGCAUCUUGGGAGUAUGGAGGGGGGAGGAGGGUUACUAAUUUAAAUAUUUAAAUGUGCCUAUCCCUGCUAAUGCCCCGUCCAUAUCCCAAGAGUACUCCAGUGCCCCCUGUGGAUUCAAAGAAAAGGAUUUAUCUGGUCAGGAAGAGGGAACGUCAGUCUCCUGUAUGGCGGAUGAAGACUGGGCUGGAUAUAAGGACACGGAGCUUCUGUUUCCCCGGUGCUGGAUGAAGACUGGGCUGGAUAUAAGGUCAGGAAGAGGGAACUUCAGUCUCCCAUGUGGUGGAUGAAGACUGGGCUUGGAUAUAAGGACAUGGAGCUUCUGUUUCCCCGGUGCUGGAUGAAGACUGAGCUGGAUACAAGGUCAGGAAGAGGGAACGUCGGUCUCCUGUAUGGCGGAUGAAGACUGGGCUGGAUACAAGGUAAACCUGCGCCACCGCCGUGACCCGUAACGAAUGGAAAGCGUUCUUCCCGGAACCUGCUGGGACGCAGCGAUCUCCUCAUUGGCUGAUUUGUUAAUAGAGUGCGGUGUGUGACCGGCUGUACCGGUGUGCUGCAAUAUUGUAAUUUCCUAUUAAACAUCUAAACCUA